CUUUGCGAGCCUGUUUUUUGCUGGUUUUCCGGCAGCAGUGUCCAAGACCGGGGAUUGGUUUGAUGUCACUCUUGCUGACAGGAGGAGGGUGCAGAACCAGUUUAGGAGGACGUGUCAAACACACAGCCUUACCUGCUAAAGCUGGAUGGAUGGGACUGGAACCAUUAAGAUUCUUCACUGGCACUGUUGGCACGCUAAGAGCAACAACAACAAUAAAAUCAUAUGCCAUUUCUGAGAUAUAUAAAAAACAUUAAACCUUAACAUAAUACACUAAUCAAAUGAACUAAUGUACAUACACAAACAAAGAGUUAAAUCAUGUUUUUCACAAACUGGCAGGAUGUGAACAGAUACAUUUGACAUUGCUGAAAUCCCAUGUUGGCUGUACUAGCAGACCUGGAUUUGAACAAUGAAACUUAUUAUUACAGAGCAUUCCAGUUGCUGUGUGUCUAUUGACCUGGAUUACUAAAACUAGUAAGAAUACUAAUCCCUGUAAAUAGUAGCAAUUUUUUCGAGUGUGGCUGUCCACAUACAGCACUGGUACAGUUGUAACACUGUCCACAUAAACAUUCUGGUGUACUACUUAUUAUGCUAAUACACUUUGUUUCCAUUAACAUUUUCCUUAUUUUAAAGUGCAAGUAUAGUACUUACUGAAUAUGUGUGAACACAGUCAUAAUUAUGGUGUAUCAAUUUCUAUCCAAAUUACUCAAUUAAGUAAAAAUAAAAAUAGCCCUGUUCAUAUAUAAUAAUUUUAAAAAAUACAAAAAAAUGGAAAAUGUUAAAUGUCUGUUUGUGUCUGAAUCACAUGAAACACAUUGUCAACCAAAGUCUGCAUAUCUAAAAGUCUUCUGGUUGUCUCCUGCUCUCGUACAGCCCUAAUCCAUUAUUUUCCAUCUGGGGACUGACCGGACAACACACAAGCAUCACAUCUGCAACAGAUUGUAUGUACGUCACAAGCUAUUGCAAUAACAGCCCAUAUAAACACUCUCCUACAUUUAGACACACACACACACACAAGCCUACAGACAUAUUCAAAAACGUUAGCACCAACAGCUUUUUACAAAUAAUUGCCAACAGCAUAUCAUGGCUCAGAACUACUCCUUCAAAGGGAGACAUUUUUUGGAUAUGCAUUACUUUCAAUAAUAGGGAGGUAUUAGAGAGUUUACAUAACAGGGUGAAGGGCAGAAUAACAGACUUUGCUGUUCAUUUGUGAGGCCAUUUAAUAUGGACCUUGUGACCAAUGAGAGAAUCCAGAUUUUGCUACUUAAAGCUGGUUCAGCUGUUAUUUUUAAAAUUGCAAAUGGUCAGUAUGUGGUGUUGACCACCAAUGAACAUAAGGCAAUUGUGGUGACUCCAAUUAGCCUUUUUUUAAAAAUAAAAAAAAAUCAGCAGCAGCUUUACAAUAUUUGUGUUAAUCAUUGCUACAAUUGAUCACAACAUGAAGACGGAUCAGGAAAUGCAUACAUUUUUGUACACAUUUCAGCUCUUUGCCUUCCUCACAUGUGUAUAUUGAUAUCGAGGAAGGAUGGUGAAAAUGGUUCAGUAUCAUCUUACUGAUACCAGUUUAAUAAAAAACAGUUAAUAUAAUGUGUUUCAGAUGCACAGCUUUGUUCUUCCACACCAGCUAUUAAAAUUUGUUUAGUAAUACAUUAUCUAUUGUUAUUCAUUAUCUGUUUAUAAAUACAACCUUGUGUAUUAGCAGAGUGCUUAAACUGCAUUUUGAAUAGCUGGACAGGAGCAAUAUGAGACAGAUAGG